rnacentral:tRNA from 1 species
GGGGAUUUAGCUCAGUGGUAGAGCGUUUGCCUAGCAAGCACAAGGCCCUGGGUUCGGUCCACAGCUCCG